GACGAACGCUGGCGGCGUGCCUAAUACAUGCAAGUAGAACGCUGAAGAGAGGAGCUUGCUCUUCUUGGAUGAGUUGCGAACGGGUGAGUAACGCGUAGGUAACCUGCCUUGUAGCGGGGGAUAACUAUUGGAAACGAUAGCUAAUACCGCAUAACAAUGGAUGACACAUGUCAUUUAUUUGAAAGGGGCAAUUGCUCCACUACAAGAUGGACCUGCGUUGUAUUAGCUAGUAGGUGAGGUAAUGGCUCACCUAGGCGACGAUACAUAGCCGACCUGAGAGGGUGAUCGGCCACCCUGGGACUGAGACACGGCCCAGACUCCUACGGGAGGCAGCAGUAGGGAAUCUUCGGCAAUGGGGGCAACCCUGACCGAGCAACGCCGCGUGAGUGAAGAAGGUUUUCGGAUCGUAAAGAUCUGUUGUAAGUCAAGAACGGGUGUGAGAGUGGAAAGUUCACACUGUGACGGUAGCUUACCAGAAAGGGACGGCUAACUACGUG
rnacentral:rRNA from 1 species